UGGCCCAUGGGGGGAUCGAACCCACGACCUUUGUGUUAUUAGCACAAUGCUCUAACCAACUGACCUAAUGGGCU
rnacentral:tRNA from 1 species